GACGAACGCUGGCGGCGUGCUUAACACAUGCAAGUCGAACGCUGAAGCUUGGUGCUUGCACUGGGUGGAUGGGUGGCGAACGGGUGAGUAAUACGUGAGUAACCUGCCCUUGACUCUGGGAUAAGCCUGGGAAACUGGGUCUAAUACUGGAUAUGACAUGCCACUGCAUGGUGUUGUGUGGAAAGGGUUUUACUGGUUUUGGAUGGGCUCACGGCCUAUCAGCUUGUUGGUGGGGUAAUGGCCUACCAAGGCGACGACGGGUAGCCGGCCUGAGAGGGUGACCGGCCACACUGGGACUGAGACACGGCCCAGACUCCUACGGGAGGCAGCAGUGGGGAAUAUUGCACAAUGGGCGGAAGCCUGAUGCAGCGACGCCGCGUGAGGGAUGACGGCCUUCGGGUUGUAAACCUCUUUCAGCACGGAAGAAGCGAGAGUGACGGUACGUGCAGAAGAAGCGCCGGCUAACUACGUG
rnacentral:rRNA from 1 species